UUUUAUGGUGUUCAAAUUUGUGCUGCCAAU
rnacentral:piRNA from 1 species